UACAGAGGGUGCGAGCGUUGUUCGGAAUUAUUGGGCGUAAAGGGCGCGUAGGCGGCGCGGUAAGUCACCUGUGAAAUCUCCCGGCUUAACUGGGGAACUGCGUGUGAUACUGGAUGGCUUGGAUUUGGGAGAGGGAUGCGGAAUUCCAGGUGUAGCGGUGAAAUGCGUAGAUAUCUGGAGGAACACCGGUGGCGAAGGCGGCAUCCUGGACCAAUAUUGACGCUGAGGAGCGAAAGCCAGGGGAGCAAACGGG
rnacentral:rRNA from 1 species